UAGUCAUAAUGAUUAUAUUCGUUAAAGUAUAAGGAUGCCGGAUCGAGACCAAACUAUAUGGGCAUAAGUACUCAAAACAAAUGUACAUCUUGAUUGUGAAAAUGGUUCAGCCGUCAGAAUGCCGAACUCUAAACUGUUGGAAAUGUGCCCUAAAACCAAUCAUAUGAUGAUACUUUAUGGACAUUUCACAAGUUAAACUAAUGUAGUUUAAAUAUAAAAGGCAAAGAUUAUUGUUUUAAGCCGUCUCAUAUAAAUGUUAUAUGCUUAAACAAUAAGUCCAAGGAAUAUGUGAUUGGGAGAAUGCAAUCUAUAGAAGUUAGAUUCAUGAGACCAUUCUUUCGUAUACAUAUCCUAAACGUUCCUGAUCAUAGGAUUGCCAAUUGGGCAUUGACAGUCCGUUAAGAUCGGUACGUGUUGUGUCUUCUCUCAGGGAGAGUGACUA
rnacentral:lncRNA from 1 species